rnacentral:tRNA from 1 species
GCCGAGGUGGUGAAAUUGGUAGACACGCAGCGUUCAGGGCGCUGUACUCGCAAGGGUGUGGAGGUUCAACUCCUCUCCUCGGCA